rnacentral:rRNA from 1 species
GCAAGUCUGGUGCCAGCAGCCGCGGUAAUUCCAGCUCCAAUAGCGUAUAUUAAAGUUGUUGCAGUUAAAAAGCUCGUAGUUGAAUUUCGGGAUCAAUAUUUCGGUCAUGCCGUUGGUAUGCACUGUUAUCAUUGAUUUCUCACCUUCUAAAGAACCAUAACGCCAUUAAUUUGGUGUUACGGGGAAUUAGGACUGUUACCUUGAAAAAAUUAGAGUGUUUAAAGCAGGCUCACGCUUGAAUACAUUAGCAUGGAAUAAUGAAAUAGGACAUCCGAUUCUAUUUUGUUGGUUUCUAGGAUCGAUGUAAUGAUUAAUAGGGAUAGUUGGGGGCAUUAGUAUUCAAUUGUCAGAGGUGAAAUUCUUGGAUUUAUUGAAGACUAACUACUGCGAAAGCAUUUGCCAAGGAUGUUUUCAUUAAUCAAGAACGAAAGUUAGGGGAUCGAAGACGAUCAGAUACCGUCGUAGUCUUAACCAUAAACUAUGCCGACUAGGGAUCGGAUGAUGUUAAUUUUUUAAUGACUCAUUCGGCGCCUUACGGAAAC